rnacentral:tRNA from 1 species
AUGACAGAACCCGGUAAUUGUGUAAGACUUAAAACUUUAUAACAGAGGUUCAAUUCCUCUU